rnacentral:rRNA from 1 species
GACGAACGCUGGCGGCGUGCCUGACACAUGCAAGUCGAACGGGCGAGUUCGGGCUCAAGCCUUAGAGAGGGCGGAAGAUGAGAAAUCGUUGGAGGCUUUUGAAGGGGUAGCGGUCUUAAUGCUUGUCAGUGGCGGACGGGUGAGUAACACGUGGAUAAUCUACCCUACAGUGGGGAACAACUGUUCGAAAGGGCAGCUAAUUCCGCAUGGGGUCUAGCGGUCGAACGCUGGAUCAAAGGCGCGAGUCGCUCUGGGAGGGGCCUGCGGCCGAUUAGCUAGUUGGUGGGGUAAGAGCCUACCAAGGCGAAGAUCGGUAGCUGGUCUGAGAGGAUGAUCAGCCACAUUGGCACUGAGACACGGGCCAAACUCCUACGGGAGGCAGCAGUAAGGAAUAUUGCACAAUGGGGGAAACCCUGAUGCAGCAACGCCGCGUGGGCGAUGAAGGUCUUCGGAUCGUAAAGCCCUUUCUGCGGAAGAGGCAGGGACGGUACCGCAGGAAUAA